rnacentral:lncRNA from 1 species
GCAAGUACAGGUUCCCAGUCCUGGAACAAGAGCGAACAGACAGAGCUCAAUAGCCCCAAAAAAGCUAAAUAAAUAAACCACUUGAGGAUGUUAAUAAAUAUACAUAAUUAGGUCACAAUUCAUGAUCAGACAUGAAAUUCAUUACCUUGAAUACAACAUGUGUCUUUAAUGGGUCAAAGGUCAAAUCAUAGAGAGAAUGUGGGCAACGUAAAUUUAACAGGUAAGCUGGACAUGCUUGAGACUUACUUCUCUUUCCUUUAAGGAAUCCAUUAUUGGCCUUCCAUGAAUCCGAACAAUCAAAACUAGCAGCCAAAUGAUUCAACAACUUGUGGAUGGACCCUUUGCAUACAUACCUUGAAUUAAUAUCUGACAUUAUGAAGGUCUACAAAAAACCCGCUUCCGCUUCCGUUUGUACUUGAAGCACCCAGUCGAUGAUUCACAUCUUUCCUCGCCGCCAGAAAACAGAGCCCCACCAAGUGGCGGGCUUCCUUGUGAAAAGCAGCUUUGAUGAAGAGGCUUUUUGAUGUCCUUGCUAACCUCAAAUUCAUUGCUAAAUUCAUCCUUAUCUAAAGGUGAUGCGGUACCUGACGCUCCAUUGCUCACACCAGGUUCAAUUUGAAGGUAUUCAUACCCCCGUUGUGAAUUCAAAAGGUCACCCUCCACUGGAAUGCUGGAUCUUCCAUCAGCCAAAAAGCAAGUCUCCAAGAAAUAACUUCCUUUUAAUGAAAAUCUGUUACCAGAUGUCCAUCCAUGGAGGUCAAUCUUCCGGAGUACUGGGGAUAAGCAUUCAGCAAACGGACAAUCCAACAAUUUAGAUGAGUAUUUGGGCUGAGAAACAAGUUCCCUCUUAGAAUUUUCCUCUUCAAGUUCUGGAGUAUGUUUCUCAAACUCUCCAAAUAUGAUUCUUUCACAUUCCUCACGAAACAAAUGAUCACCCUCUUUGGAAAGAUUCUCCAAAGGAGAAGAGUAAAGGUGAGGAGAAGACUGAUGAUAUUGGAACCUGCUACUUUCUAUUGUCCAAGCAUGGCGGUCAAUCUUCCAGGGCACUAUGGGCAAGCAUUUGGCAAAUGAACCAUCCGACAACCCAAAAGAAUAUUUUGGCUGAGGAACAUACUCCAUUUCAGUAUUUUCCUCUUGAAGCUCUGCCGGAUCUUUCUCAGCAUCUCCAAAUGUGAUUCUUUCACAUUCCUUACGAAACAAAUGAUCUCCCUCUUUUUUAAGAUUCUCCAAAGGGGGAGAGAAAAGGUGGCGAGAAGGCUGAUGAUCUUGGAACCAGCUACUUUCUAUUGUCCACACUCGGUGGUCAAUCUUCGGGGGCACUAUGGGUAAGCAUUCAGCAAAUGAACCAUCCAACAAACUGGAAGAGUGUUUUGGCUGAGAAAAAAAUUCCAUCUCAGUAUUUUCUUCUGCAAGUUCUACAGGAUCUUUCUGGAACUCUUGAAAUGUGAUUCUUUCACAUUCCUUAUGAAACAUAUGAUCACGCUGUUUGGCAAGAUUCUUCAAAGGGGAAGAGUGAAGGUGAGUAGAAGACUGGUGACUUUGGAACCUGCUACUUUCUAAUGGCAGCUCAGCAUCCUCUAACAUAUCCACAUCAAAAGAAUCUAGCAACAAAAAGAAAACUUAAUAUGUCAGCACAGAGGAAUAAAAAAAAGUUUUUCUGGAGAAAUCAAUGGAAAAAUUAACUAAUGAAAAAGUUAUUCCUCUAGCAUCCACAAGAUAUUAUGCCGCAUUAAAUGAAAUAAUUCUAAUAUAAAGGGGAUGAAGAACUUGACACAGAUAGAUUUUUGACGUACAAAAGUAUGAAAGGUACCUCCAGCAGAUAUGAUGUUGUUAUGUUUAUUCAACAUUUCAUCUUUUCCAAAUUUAUUGGCUGUGCAACUCAUGGAUACUCCUGGAAAUUUCAGUCAUUAAGAAUCACUUCUUGACCCAUUAUAUGAAUGCAACAACCAUAGCAAGCAAUUUUCAUGAGAGUGAGUAUACCAUGCGCUAUUUUUUUCAUCCAUGCAGAACGGAUAGCCCGCUCAAUGAAGGCAAGUACAGGUUCCCAGUCCUGGAACAAGAGCGAACAGACAGAGCUCAAUAGCCCCAAAAAAGCUAAAUAAAUAAACCACUUGAGGAUGUUAAUAAAUAUACAUAAUUAGGUCACAAUUCAUGAUCAGACAUGAAAUUCAUUACCUUGAAUACAACAUGUGUCUUUAAUGGGUCAAAGGUCAAAUCAUAGAGAGAAUGUGGGCAACGUAAAUUUAACAGGUAAGCUGGACAUGCUUGAGACUUACUUCUCUUUCCUUUAAGGAAUCCAUUAUUGGCCUUCCAUGAAUCCGAACAAUCAAAACUAGCAGCCAAAUGAUUCAACAACUUGUGGAUGGACCCUUUGCAUACAUACCUUGAAUUAAU